rnacentral:rRNA from 1 species
GAUCAGUGGCUCGAGGACGAACGCUGGCGGCGUGCUUAACACAUGCAAGUCGAACGGAAAGGCCCUGCUUUUGUGGGGUGCUCGAGUGGCGAACGGGUGAGUAACACGUGAGUAACCUGCCCUUGACUUUGGGAUAACUUCAGGAAACUGGGGCUAAUACCGGAUAGGAGCUCCUGCUGCAUGGUGGGGGUUGGAAAGUUUCGGCGGUUGGGGAUGGACUCGCGGCUUAUCAGCUUGUUGGUGGGGUAGUGGCUUACCAAGGCUUUGACGGGUAGCCGGCCCGAGAGGGUGACCGGCCACAUUGGGACUGAGAUACGGCCCAGACUCCUACGGGAGGCAGCAGUGGGGAAUAUUGCACAAUGGGCGGAAGCCUGAUGCAGCAACGCCGCGUGCGGGAUGACGGCCUUCGGGUUGUAAACCGCUUUCGCCUGUGACGAAGCGUGAGUGACGGUAAUGGGUAAAGAAGCACCGGCUAACUACGUG